ensembl:misc_RNA
UUGACAGCCUUGGAGAUUGUGGGGAUUGGAAUAUUAUUUAUCCCUAGAAUAGGUGCAGUGCAGACUGCAAUAGUGCAAAAAUUUCUUACCUUAUUCUGCUGUUACACCCUACUAGUGCCCUUCAGAGGCAGCCUCCAGGGGUGAGGAACACUUUCUCUGUGCCCGUUUAGGUAGUUGGCUGCU